rnacentral:rRNA from 1 species
GUCCACGCUGUAAACGAUGAGAACUAGACGUCGGUCAGCUUGGCUGAUCGGUGUCGUAGCUAACGCGCUAAGUUCUCCGCCUGGGGAGUACUGCCGCAAGGUUGAAACUCAAAGAAAUUGACGGGGGCCCCGCACAAGCGGUGGAGUAUGUUGUUUAAUUCGAUGCAACGCGAAGAACCUUACCUGGUCUUGACAUGUUAGGAACCUUACAGAGAUGUAGGGGUGCCGCAAGGAGCCUAAACACAGGUGCUGCAUGGCUGUCGU